rnacentral:rRNA from 1 species
CGGUAAUUCCAGCUCCAAUAGCGUAUACUAAAGUUGUUGCAGUUAAAAAGCUCGUAGUUGGAUUUCUGCGGGGACGGAGCGGCCGGACGCAACUUGCGUCUCGAGCUAGCGCUUUCCCCGCAUCCUGCCGCGAACCGUGCUACCAUUAGCUUGGUGGCGCUGGGGAUCGGCUCGAUUACUUUGAGAAAAAUAGAGUGUUCAAAGCAGGCCACACGCCUUGAAUAAGUUAGCAUGGAAUAAUGACUAAGGACUUCGGUUCUAUUUUGUUGGUGUUCGGGACUGAAGUAAUGAUUGAUAGGGACAGUUGGGGCGGUCUGUAUUCCAAAGCGAGAGGUGAAAUUCUUAGACCUUCGGAAGACAAACAGCUGCGAAAGCGUUCCGCAAGGAUGUUCCCUUUGAUCAAGAACGAAAGUUGGGGGAUCGAAGACGAUCAGAUACCGUCGUAGUCUCAACUAUAAACUAUACCAGCUAGGGAUCGGCCAACGUUUAAUUAUUCGACUUGGUCGGCACCUUAUGAGAAAUCAAAGCAUCUGGGUUCCGGGGGGAGUAUGGUCGCAAGGCUGAAACUUAAAGGAAUUGACGGAAGGGCACCACCAGGCGUGGAGCCUGUGGCUUAAUUUGACUCAACACGGGAAAACUUACCAGGUCCAGACAUAGGAAGGAUUGACAGAUUGAUAGCUCUUUCUUGAUUCUGUGGGUGGUGGUGCAUGGCCGUUUUUAGUCGGUGAAGUGAUUUGUCUGCUUAAUUGCGUUAACGGACGAGACCCCAGCCUGCUAAAUAGCGCGGCCGAGCUUUGCUCGGUACGAGCUUCUUAGAGGGACCAUGAUGCGCGAUAGCACAAGGAAGUUUGGGGCAACAACAGGUCUGUGAUGCCCUUAGAUGUUCUGGGCCGCACACGGGCUACACUGGCGCCUGCAACGAGCAUAUCAGCUGGCCCGAGAGGGUCUUGGCUAAUCUUUGGAACCGGCGCCGUGCUUGGGAUUGACCAUUGCAAUUGUUGGUCAUGCAACGAGGAAUGCCUUGUAAACGCGAGUCAUCAGCUCGCAUUGAAUACGUCCCUGCCCUUUGUACACACCGCCCGUCGCUCCUACCGAUGAAUGUUCCGAUGAAAUUUUCGGAGAGCGCCGGAGAACGGGGCUCUGCCCUGCAGAACUGGAGGCUCAAAGUCACUUAAAUCUGAACAUUUCGAGGAAGGAGAAGUCGUAACAAGGUAGCCG